CGCCCUGCUGAGCGCGAAGGAAGAGAUCCAAGAGAUCAAGAGCAAGGAGGCAGAAUCAAGUGCUUCAAGUGUGGACGUGAAGGUCACCAUCAGGCAACCUGUGCUAAUCCUCCUCUUUGUUACUCUUGCCACAGCUCUGGUCACAUUGCUUCUAACUGCCCUAUGAGUUUGUCUAAAAGAGGUGUUAAGUUGUGUGGUUUUGGCAUACCAGGUCAGGGGUUCUAUAGUCUUCAUGUAGAUGCUACUGAGACUAGUGGUGCUAGAACCCCAGUGAGAGGUAUAUUGACUGUGAUUCAGGGUGUUGCUACGGUUCCCAAAAUUAUCAAUGAGCUGAAAAAUCUUUUCUUGGGCCUUCAGUGGGAUUGGAAAGUAAAGCAGCUAAGUGAUAAAGAGUUCUUGAUUUCUUUCCCAUCUGAAGAUGUCAGGAGCAAGAUCUCUACUUGUAAGAGCUUUGGUUUUGAUACUUGUUCCAUUAAGGCUAGUGUUGUUGAGACAGGAAUGACUGAGGAGGCAAUUGAUGAGUUGGCCGUUUUAGCAAGAGCUAAAGAGUCGGUGAAGGCAAUAGUUGAGCUGAUUGGAGAGUUUGAAGCAAUUGAUCACAAUAGCUUGAGAAGAAAUGAGCCAGUUAGGGUGAGAGUAGCUUGUAAGGACCCAAGGGAACUCCACUUUGCCAUUCAUGUGUAUAUCAAUAAAGUUGGAUACAUGAUCAGAUGGGAACCUGAGGGUUAUCCACCUUAUGAAGACAAACACGAUCCUUCUGAUGGUGGGGAUGAUGAUGGGGGCAAAGAUGAUACCAAUGAUGAUAUGAAUUUGGAUGAAGAUCCCAGAGGAAAAUGUCCAAAUAGAGGCAGACAAUCUCAAGAGAAAAGAGCUGAUAAGAAGAGUUCUUUUGGAGCCCACUCUGCUCCCCCCACAUACAAAGGAAAGGUGCAACAACGGGAUUACUCUCCUGCUAGACCAGUGAAGAAGAUUGCCUCCAAGAAACAAUCUCUAUUGUCCCCUAAAGAGUUUUUGCCUGAAGAGAAUGCUCUGGUACUUUGGGAAGAAGAUAAAUUGAAUGUUCAGUUGGAACAAGAGUUACAGGAACUAGAGAUUCCACUAAGUAGGCAACUAUCUCAAGUCAGAGAGGGACCUUCUAGAGUUGAGUUUUCUGAAGAUUCUUGUGGAAGUCACCAUGAAGAGUUAGAGAUGUGUGAUAUACCUUCUCUAUCUGACAUAGUUAGACUGAAAGAGGAAGAGGAGGUUGAUGAGGAUAAUAGUUUCAAGGAGGUGUCAAAUAAGAAAAAAGGGAAGAAAGGGGGUGAACCUACUGUCACCUCUAGAAUGAGCUUGAGACACAGAGACCUGGCGGCCAUCCCUGUCCCUAAGAGAGCUGAGAUCCUGACCCAGAAGAAGAACUUGGAGUCCACA
rnacentral:lncRNA from 1 species